rnacentral:rRNA from 1 species
CUUAAUUCGAUGCUACGCGAAGAACCUUACCUAGGCUUGACAUGCAUUGAAAACUGUUAGAGAUAACAGGUCCGCAAGGGCUUUGCACAGGUGGUGCAUGGCUGUCGUCAGCUCGUGUCGUGAGAUGUUGGGUUAAGUCCCGCAACGAGCGCAACCCUCGUCUUGUGUUGCCAACAGGUAAUGCUGGGAACUCACAAGAGACUGCCGGGGUCAACUCGGAGGAAGGUGGGGACGACGUCAAGUCAUCAUGCCCCUUAUGUCUAGGGCUGCACGCAUGCUACAAUGGCCGAUACAAAGGGCUGCGAUACCGCAAGGUGGAGCGAAUCCCAUAAAGUCGGUCUCAGUUCGGAUUGAGGUCUGCAACUCGACCUCAUGAAGUUGGAGUUGCUAGUAAUCGCGGAUCAGCAACGCCGCGGUGAUACGUUCCCGGGCCUUGUACACACCGCCCGUCACGUCACGAAAGUCGGUAACACCCAAA